rnacentral:rRNA from 1 species
UACAGAGGUGGCAAGCGUUGUUCGGAAUUACUGGGCGUAAAGGGCUCGUAGGCGGCCAACUAAGUCAGACGUGAAAUCCCCAGGCUCAACCUGGGAACUGCGUCUGAUACUGGAUGGCUUGAAUUCGGGAGAGGGAUGCAGAAUUCCAGGUGUAGCGGUGAAAUGCGUAGAUAUCUGGAGGAAUACCGGUGGCGAAGGCGGCAUCCUGGACCGACAUUGACGCUGAGGAGCGAAAGCUAGGGGAGCAAACGGG